rnacentral:rRNA from 1 species
AUUCCAGCUCCAAUAGCGUAUAUUAAAGUUGUUGCAGUUAAAAAGCUCGUAGUUGAAUUUUGGACCUGGUUGAAUGGUCCCGCCGCAAGGUGGGUACUGUUUGAUUGGGUCUUUCUUUGCGGGGAAUUAGUGUGCUCUUAAUUGGGUGCAUUAAGGAUCCGUAACUUUUACUUUGAAAAAAUUAGAGUGUUUAAAGCAGGCUUAGGCCUGAAUACAUUAGCAUGGAAUAAUAGAAUAGGACCUGUGUCCUAUUUUGUUGGUUUCUAGGACGUAGGUAAUGAUUAAUAGGGACAGUUGGGGGCAUUAGUAUUUAAGUGUCAGAGGUGAAAUUCUUGGAUUGCUUAAAGACUAACUUCUGCGAAAGCAUUUGCCAAGGAUGUUUUCAUCA